rnacentral:rRNA from 1 species
GCGGCCCCGUUGCCCCCCGCGCGGUCGCGGCGGGAUCACCCUCUCGCCGCUGCCUCGCUCCCGAAACAAACCACGGCGCGGAAAGCGUCAAGGAACACGAACGAAAGAGCGUUCGCCCGUCGGCCCGUGCUCGGUGCGCGGCGGGCGCUGCGCCGUCCACUGAAUUACAAAACGACUCUCGGCAACGGAUAUCUCGGCUCUCGCAUCGAUGAAGAACGUAGCGAAAUGCGAUACUUGGUGUGAAUUGCAGAAUCCCGCGAAUCAUCGAGUCUUUGAACGCAAGUUGCGCCCCAGGCCAUCCGGCUGAGGGCACGUCUGCCUGGGUGUCACGCACAGUCGCCCCACAAAAACCUCCUUCCCCGCGAAGGUCGUUGCUCGAUGUGGGCGGAUGAUGGCCUCCCGCCCGCGCGCCGCUCGGCCGCCGCGGUUGGCCCAAAUGUGAAGCUCGUGCGGCGAACAGCGAGGACGAGUUGGUGGUUGAAUAAACGCGACGCUGUCUCGUCUGGCUGCGCGCCCCGUGCUCACGGACCCCCCAGCGUACCCCCCGGGGAACGCUCGCACCGCGACCCCAGGUCAGGCG